rnacentral:rRNA from 3 species
AAAUUGAAGAGUUUGAUCAUGGCUCAGAUUGAACGCUGGCGGCAGGCCUAACACAUGCAAGUCGAGCGGCAGCGGGGAGUAGCUUGCUACUUUGCCGGCGAGCGGCGGACGGGUGAGUAAUGCUUGGGAACUUGCCUUUAGGAGGGGGAUAACCACGGGAAACUGUGGCUAAUACCGCAUAAUGUCUACGGACCAAAGCAGGGGAUCUUCGGACCUUGCACCUAGAGAUAGGCCCAAGUGAGAUUAGCUAGUUGGUGGGGUAAAGGCCCACCAAGGCGACGAUCUCUAGCUGUUCUGAGAGGAUGAUCAGCCACACUGGGACUGAGACACGGCCCAGACU